rnacentral:rRNA from 1 species
CCUACGGGAGGCAGCAGUAGGGAAUAUUGGUCAAUGGGUGAGAGCCUGAACCAGCCAUGCCGCGUGCAGGAAGAAGGCCUUCUGGGUUGUAAACUGCUUUUGCCAGGGGAUAAGAAUACCUUGCGAGGUAAAUUGAAGGUACCUGGUGAAUAAGCCACGGCUAACUACGUGCCAGCAGCCGCGGUAAUACGUAGGUGGCAAGCGUUGUCCGGAUUUAUUGGGUUUAAAGGGUGCGUAGGCGGCCCUGUAAGUCAGUGCUGAAAUAUCCCAGCUUAACUGGGAGGGUGGCAUUGAUACUGCGGGGCUAGAGUACAGAUGAGGUAGGCGGAAUUGACGGUGUAGCGGUGAAAUGCUUAGAUAUCGUCAAGAACACCUAUAGCGAAGGCAGCUUACUAGGCUGUAACUGACGCUGAGGCACGAAAGUGUGGGGAUCAAACAGGAUUAGAUACCCAGGUAGUCCACACUGUAAACGUUGAUUACUCGCUGUGUGCGAUAUACAGUACGCGGCCAAGCGAAAGCGCUAAGUAAUCCACCUGGGGAGUACGCCGGCAACGGUGAAACUCAAAGGAAUUGACGG